rnacentral:rRNA from 1 species
GACGAACGCUGGCGGCGUGCUUAACACAUGCAAGUCGAACGAAGUGGAGAACGGGUGAGUAAUACGUGAGUAACCUGCCCUCCUUUUUGGGAUAAGCCUUGGAAACGGGGGCUAAUACCGAAUAAAGGGGGAUGGGCUCGCGGCCUAUCAGCUUGUUGGUGGGGUGAUGGCCUACUAAGGCGGUGACGGGGGGCCGGCCUGAGAGGGGGACCGGCCAAAUUGGGACUGAGCUACGGCCCAGACUCCUACGGGGGGCAGUAGUUGUGGUGAGUGCACAAUGGGUGAAGUCCUGCUGCAGCGACGCCGCGUAGGGGAUUAAGGCUUUCGGGUUGUAAACCUCUUUCGCGAUCGAACGGGUAUGUGGAGAAGAAGCGCCGGCUAACUACGUGCCAGCAGCCGCGGUAAUAC